UCCGGUUCAUCACCAGCAGUCUCUUUAGAGUCCCCACCAUUACAUGUUGGCAACUAAAGAUAAGGGUUGCGCUCGUUACGGGACUUAACCCAACAUCUCACAACACGAGCUGACGACAGCCAUGCAGCACCUGUCUCUACGUUCCUUUCGGCACUUCCACAUCUCUGCAGAAUUCGUAGGAUGUCAAGGGUAGGUAAGGUUCUUCGCGUUGCAUCGAAUUAAACCACAUGCUCCACCGCUUGUGCGGGCCCCCGUCAAUUUCUUUGAGUUUUAAUCUUGCGACCGUACUCCCCAGGCGGAAAACUUAUCGCGUUUGCUUCGAUACUAAUAGGUCUUAGCCUAACAACAUCUAGUUUUCAUCGUUUACAGCGUGGACUAC
rnacentral:misc_RNA from 1 species